UACGAAGGGGGCUAGCGUUGCUCGGAAUGACUGGGCGUAAAGGGCGCGUAGGCGGUUUGUACAGUCAGGUGUGAAAUUCCCGGGCUCAACCUGGGGGCUGCACUUGAUACGUAUGGACUGGAGUGGGGAAGAGGGUCGUGGAAUUCCCAGUGUAGAGGUGAAAUUCGUAGAUAUUGGGAAGAACACCGGUGGCGAAGGCGGCGACCUGGCCCGGUACUGACGCUGAGGUGCGAAAGCGUGGGGAGCAAACAGG
rnacentral:rRNA from 1 species